GCCAAACCAGCAAGAAGAGAGAGAAAACAAAAACAAAACCCUAGAGAGAGAAAAUCAAAGAAAAAGUGUGAAUUUUCAAGGAAAUUAAGUGAAAAAGGUGAGUUUUUUCUAUUAAGCUUGAGUUUUCUUAUUCCCAAGCAUUUCUCUUUAUUUUCCAUGAUUAAAUUACAUGUUUUCAUGAUGAAUUCAAUUCUGAAAAAAUGGGUUAGGAGAGAGAAAGUUGUUGGAUUUAUUUGAUUUUAAUUUAUGUUAGUGUUUUUAGUUAGUUUAGCAUAUUUAGAAACAAAACAACAAGAAAAGAAUUUAUUUUCUCCCCCAACCAUUAAUGGCUGAAUUUACCAUGUAGUGAGUGAGGAUGAGUUUGAUUUUAUUCUAGGAGAAUUGGUUAAGGAAUAAUGAAUUAUGAGCCUAGAAAAAUAAUGGGAAUUUUCGGAGCAAAAAUACGAAUUUUUACCCACUAGGGGUAUUUUCGUAAUUUGCUGUUGGGACUGAUAAUUUGCACCACACUGAGGGACAUUAAGUUAAUUUGGGUGCAAUUGAGGUAUAGAAACUGAAAAGAAUUAAAUUGGAGUUUAAACGGACCCGUUAGGAAUUUAAUCGGGUGAUAAGACGAAUUAGGCCAAUACCGGGUUUAGAUAGUUACCAGUGCAUUUUUGCAUUCCAUAUCAUGCAUUGGUAGUCUAAAUUAGUUUAAUUUUGAUUUAGUACCAACUUGGUGAAACUCUCGAUUUUGUACUGUGUCAAGGUGGUGAGUCCUCCGAUAAAGGCAAGGAAAUUGCAUCCGAGGACCAGUAGACAGAGUGCUUCGAAAGUCUGCAUUCUAGACAUUGUGAGUAAACUUACUGUCAUUUUAAUUAUCUAGGGUGGUUUUUAGAUGCUUUCAUGAAUUCUAUGGAAAAAGGAAUUUAAAAAGAUAAAUUUUCAUGUUUUAUGAAUAAAUGAGUUUCAAUGAAAUUAAAUUAUAAAUUGUUUUGAAAUUAAUAGUGAUUUUGAAAAAUAGAGUACACGGAGACUGUUAAUUGUGGCAAAUUUGAUUGUUUAAAUUGACUGGCUUAUGAUAAAUCGAACAUGAUUGGCUAGUUGGCAAUUGUAUUGAAAUGCGAAUUGUUUGGUUGCCUUGAAAAACUCGAAUUACAAAAUUGCCAUAUCAUGUUAUUGAGUUUUAUUAUAUGGUGGAUUAUAUAUUAAUUAAUCACUGUAAUAGGGGGUUUCUGUGGACCAGCCUUUUAGAGGGGCACGGUAAACCCCAUUAUAUUUUUACCUCGAAAGGAGAGGCGCGUAGGGUAUCUCCUAGGGUAAAGUUUAGGGUUCACUUCACGCUAAACCACCACGUGAGGGGGAACUCAGCCAACGUCAGGGAACGACUAUGUUUUCAAAACAAAAACAUGAUUUAUGUGAAAUGUGAAUUUUAAUAGCCUUGGCGGUCUCGGUAGGAUGCCUCGGCCAAGGUGUCCCCGAGAAUGGAUUUAUGGCACAAGCCUAGAUUUUUAUGAGAUUCAUAAGCCUUUUUACGUAUUUUGAACGAGAUGUGUUCUAAUUAUAUAACCCAGUUUAUGAUGAUUUACUUUAUUGUCUCUAUGUACUCAACUCUAGAUGUUUAUGAUGAUGUCUGUUUACUCAUUGAGAUUUUAUAAUCUCACCACCCUCCUUUCCACCCAUUUCAGGUUCAGUAUAGACUGUAGAUAGCUGAUCUCAUCGAGGACUACAAUGGGAUCUGCAUUUUCCAAACCGUAGGUUCACAGUCCUCUUUACUUUUGUUUAUUCGGGGGCUCUCUUGUUAUUGUAAAUUAAAUUAAAUAUUUUGGCUUACUGUAUUUAAGUAUGUAUAAAUUUAUUUAGCUUUUACGCUAUAAAAAUUAUUCACGUAUAACUCUAUAAAUAUUAUUUUAUAA
rnacentral:lncRNA from 1 species